rnacentral:rRNA from 1 species
GAACGCGAAGAACCUUACCUGGCCUUGACAUAGUAGAGACUUUCCAGAGAUGGAUUGGUGCCUUCGGGAAUCUACAUACAGGUGCUGCAUGGCUGUCGUCAGCUCGUGUCGUGAGAUGUUGGGUUAAGUCCCGCAACGAGCGCAACCCUUUUCCUUACUUGCCAGCAUUUCGGAUGGGAACUUUAAGGAUACUGCCAGUGACAAACUGGAGGAAGGCGGGGACGACGUCAAGUCAUCAUGGCCCUUACGGCCAGGGCUACACACGUGCUACAAUGGUCGGUACAAAGGGUUGCUACACAGCGAUGUGAUGCUAAUCUCAAAAAGCCGAUCGUAGUCCGGAUCGCAGUCUGCAACUCGACUGCGUGAAGUCGGAAUCGCUAGUAAUCGCGGAUCAGAAUGCCGCGGUGAAUACGUACCCGGGUCUUGUACACACC